CCUCGCUCCCGGGACUCGCCAGCGAGGGAUGCCGCCGGCCGCCGGGGGCCUUCUCCAGGACCAGGAGAGAAAUCCUCUCUCCGCUUCACGACGCGGCCACUCCCACCCCUGAGACGCCCACCUGGCGGACUCUGAGGGAGGAUUCGGCUGCGUCUAAUACCACCUCCACCCCUCAUCCCUCACAAUGCGCGGAAAACCACAGGCGGCUGUGCGCGCAGCGUCGGCUCAGCCACCGCAGCUCCUCCCCUGGGAUGAAAAAGCACUCUGACGUCUUGAAAGCUGGCAGCUCUCUGUUUGGAAAAUCUCUGCCCAGUGAAAAAAUGUACCGACAAGAUUACUAAGUAACACAGUCUUCUGGGAAUGCCUUAUCAAUGCCAGCUAUUUGAAGAGCACCCAAAGUCAAACUAGUGCUCCGCGCUGGCAGUCUGGAAAAGGCAGAUGUAUGUGAGUAGAGAAACUGAUAGACAACUAGUUGCUGGCCAGUUGGCCUGUUUUCGUGCUACAAGCCUUCAGAAAACAGUCGCCUCCUUUUACCACGUUUCUAUUUCUAAACCAAAAUGAAAAGGACGUUUGUUCAAAAGAUAUUCUCUUGGGCUUUACAUUGCUUUCCCCCUGCUCACUCAGCAAAAUCCUACACUUUUUUUCCAAUUCCAAUGCUGCUGUUGGGUGUCCUUCCCAGAAGACAACCUUAAAUUCUCUUAGGCCUUAGGAGCUGAAUCUAACACCAGUCUUAAUUAACCUACAACAAGACAAAAAUUUAGGUCCGGGCUUACCUCCUAGUCAGCAGAUGGGAAAAAUUCCUAGAGAGUCUCUGGGAAAAAGGCAAAGGCUAACUUUAGCAGUUUGCUAGAAAAAAAAAAAUUCAAGUACCUUGUAAGUCACCAGGGUAGAUGCAGCAAUACUCUCUAAGGUAGCUUUACCUCUUCAAUUCUCUUACCUUACCUGAAUUUAAACACAGUGAGGCAAGUACCAAGGUCACAACCCUCCUGUGGAGGGCCUUAUUCUGCAAGGGCUCUCUGAUAUACUUCUAUCUUUGUACCGUUGGCACCUGACCACAAGCUUAGGCAUCCCUGAAAUGCUCCCUUGCUACCCAGUGUCAAGGAAUCAUUGAACCUUAGACUUUGUACUCAGGUGAACCAGGAUGAAAUCCCUAUUCUUCCAGUUUAAACUUAGGAAAUUUACUGUUCUUUUUAUCUGCCCCCUCCCCACCACCCACAUCCCCUUAUCAUCCCUAUAGGUAUAGUACUACAGGGUGCUGUGAGAAUUAGCUAAUAUGCUCAAAGCACCAAGAACAGUGCCAAUCACUUUGUAAGUAGUCAGUAAAUGAGAGCUACUAUUGUACUUAACUACUCUUCACUGAAAGCAAAAGAACCAGGAAUAGCAAAAAGGUUUGGAAACCUGGGAUCUGAAUCCCCUGCAAGUUGAGUCCACCCCAAGUUGCUUUAUUGCAAUACUUUUGGCUACUCUUGUGUCUGCCUUCUAAUUGGAUCAACUGGGUAGUUCUUCACGUGUAGGCAGGUGAUUCACAUGCACAUUAAUGCUUGAAAGCCACUAGUCUAAAAACUAUGCUACACUGGUUAGUUCACCUCUUCUUAUUUUGUAGCAUGUAAACCUUAAAUCUAGUGAUCUUACCUCAGUCCACCUAAUUCACAUUAACAUCCACACUUAGCAAGCUCUCUGUAAAGGACUGGUAGAAUUAGCAAUCAGUCAACUUGAGUGAGGGUCUUAAAGAAGUACAAGGCUUAUUCUCCGACUUCAGGGUGUUCAUAGUUCAUGGGAAUCAUGCAUACACACAAACCAGAAUAAACCAUUUUGAAGCAAAUGUGCUUGAAGUUCAGCACAUCUCCAGGAAGGAGAGGGUACUGUGAGCUAGAUGAACUGGGUGCACAGACUCUGUCUUGACCUUUCACUUUAUACCCAAUUCUUUAGGCUAAAUUUUGACAUUCUAAUUGGACUUCCAGAGUUAGUAGUUCUCACACUAAAGACUGUGUAAUUACAAGUUAACCAUGUACAGGUUGGUGAUAGAAGCAGAAGUAGAUAUUUCUGGGCUAUGCAGGGCUAUGGUAAGGGAUUUGGAAUGAAAUAGGUCUGGGCUUAAAUCUUGUAUCUCUAGCUAUGAACUUCAGUUUCCUCAUCAGUCUAUUGGAAUAUAACUACCUUUUAGGGUUGUGGUGAGACUUAGAAUAUCUGUAACCCCUCUAGUGGGUUGUAUGGUAACAGCAAUUGUGUCACAUUGUUGUUUUGUUGUUAGCUGUAAGAAAACUCAGGCUGGGCUGAGUUGUUCCUUGAAGGCGUAAUUAAUUAAUUUUUUCUGAGACAGAGUCUCAUGCUGUGUGAUCUCGCUGACUGCAACUUCCGCCUUCCAGGUUCAAGCAAUUCUCCUUGCCUCAUCCUCCUGACUAGCUGGGAUUACAGGUGCCCGCCACCACGCCCAGCUAAUUUUUGUAUUUAUUUAUUUUUUUUAGUAGAGAUGGGUUUUCACCAUGUUGGCCAGGCUGGUCUCAAACUCCUGACCUCAGGUGAUCCACCCGCCUUGGCCUCCCAAAGUGCUGGGAUUAUAGGCAUGAGCCACCACGCCUGGCCUGAAGGCAUAAUUUAAAAGUCACCUUCUCUAUGAAGCCUCCACAGGUUCUAGGCAAGUAUAACUCUUCCUUCCUUGUGUGACCACAGCACUUACCAUGGCAUGCUCUCAUUUGUCUCUUUACAUGCCUCUUCACUACAGAGUCUGGGAGCCUCUCCAGGGCAGGGCUGUAUCUUGAUUCACUUUUAUGUCCAUUAUCAAUACCCUGCACAGGACCUGAUAUUAAAUAUUGAAAUAAUGAGUUUUUAAGUGUUUCAGUUUCUUGUAUUGGUUCUGACUUUCAGUAUAACUCUUAUUAUACUACAGGCUCUAAAACCUGAACCCUUUAGCUCAUAAAUAAUUCAUACUAAAUUUAUGUAUUAUGUAUAUGUAUCUGCUUAAACCUUGAUGAUGUCAAUGCUGGGAUUGUUCUUUCAGAUCAACCUGCUAUUCUUGUUUUGUUUUGCAUUUGAUUUCAGUUGAUCCUACCUGGUAAGAGUGCAAGUAAAAUCUACAUUCUAAACCAAAACCACCAGCAGGAUUUUACGCUGCAUUCUCUAUCCACCCUGUGCACAUCUGCUCCCCAUACCAUUUCUGAGCUUUGUGGGAAGAGGCUGAGCUAAAAGAAAACGUUGUUGUUUUAAGUUUCAGUUGUUUAGACUGUUGCAACCAUUAGCACUUUCUGAAUUAAUACCUGCAAGAUAAAUGCUACCUUUAGCAACAGUUUUGAAAUCCUUGACUCUGUGCCAUUAAAAAUGCUAGACAGGGAAAAAUAAAACCUUCCCUAGAAAAUUCUUUUGCCCAGAAAGUUGCCUGAGAGGUAAUGUCAAAUGUGGACUUGAUCCCAAAAUGGCAGUUGAAUUUGUACCAGAGGAGAUGGUGGUCUAUUGGGGCUAAAAAUGAUACCCCAAAAUGAAGGAAUAAAAAGCAGCCUCAGAAGCAAAGUCUCUGUCUAGCUUUCUCCUGCCCUCCUGUCUCUCACUCUCUUAUUCUCCCUUGAAGCAAGCCAUAGAAACUGGAAUCCUUCUUCCCUGAGGUGGGUCAUAUAAACCAGAACCUUUUCCCCAAAACCAGCCUUAGAGCCUAAACAUUUUACUCUAAUCUUCUCCCUCCCUUCCCUUUCUCUUUCUUGCUAACUGCUGGCCAUAAAGAAAUUAAGACCCUCAUUCCAGGGGGUCCUACCCCAUACCUGGGAGGAAGGAAUGUUAUAUCGAAAGGCCAAGAAGAAAUCUGAACAGACAGGCCUUGCUGGAUUUCCCCAUUCCCCUUGCUGGAUCAUACCCCUUUUGUCCAAUCAUAUUUCUACACAGCUUUCCAUACUUCAUUGAACCCAAGCAUAAAAAUGGGCCAAGAGAAGGUGGCUCAUACCUAUAACCCCAGCAUUCUGGGAGGCCGAGGUGCAACAUCACUUGGGCCCAGAAGUUACAGGUUACAGUGAGCUAUGAUCAGGACAUUGCACUCCAGCCUGAUCUACAGAGUGAGACCCUAAAUCAAAAAUAAAAAUAAUAAUAAAGGAAUAGUUGCCCCUAUAUCUUGGGGUCUUCAUUCUGAAGGCUCCUGUGUCACACAAAACUACGAUCAAAUAAAUUUGUUAUGCUUUUCUCUUGUUAAUUUGCCUUUGUUAGAGAGGUGUCAACUGUUAUGAUAGGAAGGAAAGGAAUCACCCCUUUUUGCUCCCUACAGUACCAAGGACCUAAAAAUAGGAUUCUAUAAAACUUUGAAUCAGAUUCUUCUAAAACAAACCUUAUUUAUUUUACCACCCCAAGACAGAAUUGUUUGAUCCCACUAACUUGUGAAAUUUUCUUUGGAAAUAGUAAAGAAUAAACACUUAUGAGGUACACAUUAUGUGCUAAAUGCAGGUUGAAUAUCUGUUACCCAAAUUCCUUGGGACCAGAAGUGUUCUGGAUUUCAGAUUUUGAAUAUUUGCACUAUACUUACCAGUUGAGCAUACCAAAUUCAAAAGUCUAAAAUGCUCCAAUGAGAAUUUCCUAUAAGCCUUAUGUCAGUGUUCAGAAAAUUUGGAGCACCUCAGAUUUGGGAUGCUCAAUGUGUGCUAGCUUUAUAUGCAUUGUCUCAUUUAUUCACCAUAGCUAUCCAUUACACAGGCAGUAUUAUUUUCUCAUAUUGACAGAUGAGAAAACAGAGGCCCAUUGUAAUCCAGUAGCUAGCUGAAGGUCACAUAAUCAGUGAGUAGAAGAGUUGGGAUUUGGGCCUAGGCAAGUCAAUUUCAGGGUUCUCAUGCUUACUCACUACUUAAUCCUAUAGGAAAGGAGUAUUUAUUUUUAAAUGGAACCCAUCAGUUAUUUCAGUAAGGUUAAUAAUGUACUUUUUCAGUAUUUCAAAAUUGCAUUGAUUUGUGCUUUUUCCACUAGUGUACUCAUAUCCCAUAUGUGCCUUCAUGAGCUGGUUUUACAGCUUACUCUUUAAUUGAAAAGCACUUUACAACUGAAAGCAAACUUCUUAAUCAAAGAUCAUAAUGUGUCCGUAGCUCCGAGUUAAGGCAACAUGAACUAUAACCAGACAGAGAGUCUCAUUCUUAGAAUUAUUGUUCAGAUGGGUCGAUAGAUAAGUAACUUUCACAUGAGAAAUAUUAUUAUAUUAUGAUAUAAUAAGAAAUAUAUAUAUAUAUUGGUCAUUGUCUAUGGUUCCUGGCUUACAGCUUCUAAAACUCUUGUAAUUUCCUCAGUGAUUAGAGCUAUAGGAUCAUUUUUGAUUAUAUUUGGGUUUUGUCUUUAGUUCCUGAAAUAGCUCCAGAUAAAGGUGAAAAAAGUGUCUUUUAUUACUCAUAAGAUGUCUUCUUCAACCACACCUGGGUUUAUGUUAAUGAAGCAAUUUUUGGAAAGCCCCUAGAUAACUGCAGGAUGGGAGCUGGUUGCUAUGGAAACUUAAACGUGUGUGUGUGUGUGUGUGUGUGUGUGUGUGUGUGUGUGUGUGUGUGUCUAGACUAGAGGGUUGGAAUUUUCAGCCCCACCUGGACCUUUGACCUUUUGGGAGUGUAGAGGAACUGGAAACUGACUUAAUUACCAACGCUAAUGAUUUAAUCAAUCGGGCCUAUGUAAUGAUGCCUUUAUAGAAACCAAAAAGGAUGGAGUUCAGAGACCUUCCAUGUUGAUGAACAAGAACACAUUCACCUGCUGUAGGGGUAGGUGUACCCCAAAACUCCACUGAUACAGAAGCUUCUAUACUCAAGACCCUUCUAUACUCAAGACCCUGGAUCUUACCCUAUAUAUCUCUUCAUCUGGCUAUUUAUUUGCAUCUUUUAAUAUAUCCUUUGUAAUAAACUAGUAAUCUAGAAAGCAAACUUUUCCUAGCUCUGUAGGCCAUUCUAGUAAAUGAUUAAACCUGAGGAGGAGUUAUGGGAACCUUUGAUUUGUAGACAAGUUGGACAAAAGUGGUAUAUAUCCUAAUAUAACAUGGGAACCUGCCACUUAUGAUUGGCGUGUGAAAUUGGGGGAUGGGGAAGCAGUCUUGUGGGACUGAGCCCUUAGCCUGUGGGGUCUAAUGCUAUCUUCAGGUAAUAUCAGAACUGAGUUAAAUUAUAGGAUACCAGUCAGUGUCCAUUGGAGAACUGAAUUAUUGUGAGGAGAAACCCACACAUUUGGUGGCUAAAAGUAUUGAUGUGAGUAGUAGCAUAUAGGAGUUUUUUGCUAUAUACAUAUGUAGUGUAAGUUUAAAGUAAAAAGUUUUGUAUUGUCAGGAGUGACUUCUUUGCACCUAAAUAUCACUGCUAUAACUGCGUUACUAAGGAAUAGUUGCUUGCUUUUAUGUAUUUGGCACCUGCAGCUACUGUUCUAAAAAGUUUGCAUGUGUUAACCUAUUAAUUAAAUCUACAAAUGACUGGCUGUACCCAUGAAGUGAGUUAUUCUAAAGACAAUGGAACAUUUAAAUGGUUUAGAAAUUUUUUGAUUAAAAAUACAUUAAUAAUAUCUCCUAAAGAAUGUGACUGAUUUUUUUCCAGGGCUCAAAUUUUUCAGUCUUUUCAUAACACCAUAUUUUAUUAUGCAUACACAAUAUGCCAUAGAGCCUGUCAGAUCACAACUUAACAUUGAAUUGCCUCAAAUUUCAGUGGCAUCAGCCCUGACGAAGCAUCUAAUUUUAAGCCUAAGCAAUUGUUUCUUUGUUUUGAAUGAGAAGCUGUCCUCUCUUUGAGGCAUGAAGAUCCAUGGCUCAGGAAACCUUAUCACGGUAGUGAAAUUGAAGAUGCUCUUGUUACUCACAUAAACAUGAUUCUCUCUUUGGAAAAUUAUUGUAGACGGUGCUUUGUAUGUUUAGGAAAUGCCGUAGCCAUGCGCACAUGCUCUGUCCGUGAAAGCCACCACCCAUCCUGAGGUAUGAUGCAUUUUUUUUUAGCAUUUUUGGAGCUUCUUAGUUUCCUGAAUCCACUCAUAUUUUUGUCUCUUUAGGAAACAACAUCAGCAACAACAAAGCCUGAUUUCCCUUCUCAGUAUCAGUGAUGUAUUAAUGGCACUUUUGCUGUUAGUGAAAAGAACAUAAGCUGGAAUUGAUGAGACCUGGAUUCCAGUCAUAUUUCUUUCAUUGACCAACUUUGUGACUUGGGAGAAAUCUCUUAAUAUCUUUACAUCCUCAGUCCUCAUUUGAAAAUGAGAGGAUUGGGAAAGAUGUCUUCUUAGGGCUUGUUUGGUGUGAGAAUUUUAUACAUAGAUAUUAAAAUUAUACAUGUUUAUCCUCCUUAGAUUUCAGUCAGUAAUGGAUAUUACCACCAGCAUUUAAUCAAGGAAGCAGGAAGUGAUCCAUCACUGCUAGCUGCUAUCUACAGGAAUUCUGUCUACAGGCAGGGCAGACCAGUCAGCCAGUAUCUUCCCGAAGUACCUUGGUCUUCCACCAUCCAUCCCACUGAGAGAGCCGUUCCUCUAAUGAGGCAUUUCUAAGCAGCUGUCCAUUGAACUCUACCCCUUGAGAUAUCCUGAGAAAUAGGAAUCUAUGGUUCCUAUUGUUUGGAAAGUAGUAUAUCUUCCUUGAAGAUUCACAAUGCGUAUUAAUAUGCUUAGGGCUCUGAUAAGUCCUGUAUUAAAAAUGCUUGUUAAACUUUGCUGAACCUAGCAUUUCUUUAACUUCACUUGGCCGUGGAGCUAUUUCCUUUAUUACACCUAUCAACAUUCCAAAAGAAUAAAAUUCCUUAGAAUAGAAUAUUUUGUUAUUUUUGAGUUAAAGACUGCAGAGCCUUCAUAAGACUUUUCUUGUUGGAAAGAGAAGGGAAUUGUGGGCUCUAUAACUCAUUUAAUGAAUAUCUGUCAAGAUAAGCCCUCUUGGUAGAUGUUUUCUUCAGCUAUUUUCCUUACAAACAUCAGUCAUAAUAGAGUGCCUGACAUCUUUAAUAGGACAAAGAGUAUCCAUUCUCAUUGGUAAUAGUGCAGCUUUGUUCUGUUACACUGAGGAAUAGUUCCCUGGCUGUUACAUACUCUUGUUAGCCUCUGGGUUCCAUGACAUCCUUUCAGAAAUAGCUGAAACUGAUAUAGAACACGCACAUAUUCUGAGCACAAAAAAGAUGACAUAGAAUAGUCUAUUAUUGGUGACUAUUGGAAGACAGUUCUCUAUGGGUCUCUAGUGUUUUUGUACUCUUUCUUCCAAAAUAAAUGUUCAAGGAUAUUUGUACAGUGAACAGCCUUGAAAGAUAGAGAUAAUGUCUUUCUCUGGAGCAAAAGCCAGACAUGUUUACUGUCCAGUAUAAUAAAGAUAAUGUUUUUCUCCAAAGCAAACGGGAAGCAUACUUACUGCUCAUAAAAGGUUGAUAUUCCCUAGCUCAGGAUUUCUCUCCUAUAACACAAUCCACUGUGGAGUUAGGUGCUUUCUCGCUCUCUUUGCAUCUCCCUGUGGGAAGUGGGUCUCCAGGAACUGAUAUAAAAAUGCUGAUACUUUGGAUACUGCUAUUGAAGUGAGUAGUAAACUUUCUUUUGUCUCUGACCCAGGACUUUUCACGUCUUAUACCACCAUCCCAGAAAGUGUAGCAGGCUAGUAUUUUAGUUUCCAAGGAUAAGAAAAUUUCAGACCCUCCACAUUUCUUUACAACGACUAGCUUUUUCCUCUCUACUAGGUGGAAAUUGAUGGGAUAACUUGAUAUACUUAUCUACCCU
rnacentral:lncRNA from 1 species